AUGCCUGAGGAAGUGUACCAUGGAGAGGAAGAGGUGGAGACCUUUGCCUUUCAGGCAGAAGUUGCCCAGCUCAUUUCCCUCAUCAUCAAUACUCUAUUCAAACAAGAAGAUUUUCCUCCAGGAGUUGAUCUCUAAUGCUUCUGAUGACCUGGACAAGAUUCAGUAUGAUAGCCUGAUGGACCCUAGCAAGUUGAACAGCAGGAAAGAGCUGAAAAUUGACAGUAUCCCCAACCCUCAGGUUGCCACACUGACUUUGGUGAACACAGGCAUUGGCAUGACCAAGACUGACCUCAUUAAUAACUUGAGAACCAUUGCUAAGUCUGGCACAAAGGCGUUCAUGGAGGCUCUCCAGGCCGGUACAGACAUCUCCAUGACUGAGUAGCUUGGUGUAGGAUUCUACUCAGCCUAUCUAGUGGCAGAGAAAGUGGUUGGGAUCACAAAGCACAGCAGUGAUGAGAAGUAUGCCUGGGAGUCUUCUGUUGCUGGAUCCUUCACUGUUCAUGCAGACCAUGGUGAGCCCAUUGGAUAGGGUACCAAAGUGAUCCUUCACCUCAAAGAAGAUCAGACAGAGUACUUAGAGGAGAGGAGGGUCAAGGAAGUGGUGAAGAAACACUUGCAGAUCAUAGGCUGUCCCAUCACCCUGUACUUAGAGAAGGAACAAGAGAAGGAGAUCAGUGAUGAUGAGGCAGAGGAAAAGAAAGGUGAGAAAGAUGAGGAAGAUGAGGAUGAGAAGAAGCCAAAGAUUAAAGAUGUAGGAUCUGAUAAGGAAGAUGACAAUGACAAAGAUAAGAAAAAGAAAACAAAGAAGAUCAAGAAGUAUAUUGGCCAAGAAGAGCUGAAUAAGAUGAAGCCUAUCUGGACCAGAAAUCCAGAUGACAUCACUCAAGAGGAGUAUGGUGAAUUCUAUAAGAGCCUUAUCAAUUAUUGGGAAGACUACUUGGCAGUCAAGUAGUUCUCUGAAAAAGGUCAGGUGGAAUUCAGGGCAUUGCUCUUCAUUCCCUGGUGAGCUCCCUUUGACCUUUUUGAGAACAACAUAGAAGAAUAUCAACAUCAAAUUUUAUGUCCGCCAUGUUUUCAUCAUGGACAGCUGUGAUGAGUUGAUACCUGAGUCCCUCAAUUUUAUCCAUGGUGUGGUUGACUCCAAGGACCUGCCUCUGAACAUCUCCCGAGAAAUGCUCCAAAAGAUCAAGAUCCUGAAAGUCAUACGCAAGAACAUUGUGAAGAAGUGCCUUGAGCUCUUCUCUGAGUUGAUUGAAGAUGAAGAAAACUACAGGAAGUUUUAUGAGAUAUUCUCCAAGAAUUUGAAGCUUGGAAUCCAUUCGGAUUCCACUAACCAUUGCCGGCUCUCUGAGCUCCUUCGUGAUCACACCUCUCAGUCUGGAGAUGAGAUGACUUCUCUGUCAGAGUAUGGGUAUUGCAUGAAGGAGACACAGAAGUCCAUCUACUGUAUCUGGUGAAAGCAAAGAGCAAGUGGCCAACUCUGCCUUUGUGGAGUGUGUGUGGAAACGGGGCUUCGAGGUGGUGUAUAUGACUGAGCCUAGUGAUGAGUACUGUGUGCAGCAGCUCAAGGAGUUUGAUGGGAAGAGCCUGGUCUUGGUGACUAAGGAGGGACUGGAGCUAUCAGAGGAUGAGGAAGAGGAGAAGAAAAUGGAGGAGAGCAAGGCAAAGUUUGAGAAUCUCUGCAAGCUCAUGAAGGAGAUCUUGGACAAGAAGGUUGAAAAAGUGACAAUCUCCAAUAGGCUUGUGUCUUCCUCCUGUUGCAUUGUGAGAAGCACCUGUGGCUGGACAGCCAACAUGAAACACUUCGUGAAGGCUCAGGCACUGAGAGACAACUCUACAGUGGGCUGCAUGAUGCCCAAAAAACACCUAGAGAUCAAUCCUGACCACCCCAUUGUGGAGACCCUGAGGCAGAAGGCUGAGGCAAGCAAAAGCAACAAAGCUGUCAAGGACCUGGUGGAGCUGCUGUUUGAAACGGAUCUGCUCUCUUCUGGUUUCUUACUUGAGGAUCCCCAAACCCACUCCAACCACAUCUACCGAAUGAUUAAACUAGGCCUGGGUAUUGAUGAAGAUGAGGUCACUGCAGAAGAGCUCAGUGCUGCUGUUGCUGAUACGAUUCCCCCACUGGGGGGUGAUGGGGAUGUCUCUCACAUAGAAGAAAUGGAU